rnacentral:lncRNA from 1 species
CUUUUGGCGGGAAAGGGCGCAUUGGCUCUCACGUCAAAGAGGACCGGGGCCCUAAUGAAACUCAGGCGUCGGGGAGGGUCCAAGAGAGACAAGCCUGGGGGCAUGGUGGGCGUCCCUCUCUGCAAGUGUUCCAGGACUGUACCAGGAAAGGACUGGAGCCCUGCGGAGCCAGGCUUGGCCACAACAGACGGGGAGGUCGGUGUGCAUGUCUGUCCUCUGACAAGGACUCUAGGCCGCCUGCCCCUGCUGGAGCCAUAGCCAAGCUGCCUGGAUGCCCUGCAAACACCGAGCUCCUCCUGGCUCUCCAUUCCUUACCUGCCAGUGUCCAUGGGACUGGAUGGCCUUUAGAGGGGGAAGCCAGCAACUCCCACAUUGGCCAGCUGGGGGAGCCCCAGAGAAAAGAAACCAUGGCCAAGGGCCCUCAAGGACAGUUUGCAGCACCAGCUCCUUUGGCUCAGGAUUUUCCAAAGAACUCUAUAGAAUGACCUAGAAACAGGGAGAGGGCCAAGGUAGCCUGUCUCCUAGCAACCCUAUAUUCACUCAUUCGUUUAUUUUUGAGAUAGAGUCUCAACAAGUUCGCCUAGCUGGCCUUGAACUCAAGAUCCUCUUGCCUCGGCCUCUUGAGUAUCUGGAAUUACAGGCAUGGGCCACAUGCCCAAGCCGCGCACACACACACACACACACACACACACACACACACACUACCAGCUUUGUCCUCUGUGGCGUGGAGGGGAACGUCAACUUAGACAAUAUUUGUUGGGCGCCCACUAUAUUCAAAAGGGGGCAGAAGUGACCAAGAUAGAGUCCUUGCCUUCAAAGCAUUCAUAGUGCUGCAGAAGGAAUGAAAUGCCAAAGUUAGCGACCCAAGCUCCCUUGUCUUAACAGCAGGGAUGGAUAAACUAUGAGCCUCCUGCACACAUAUUAUCCAUGAGUGCCUAUUUGCAAGAAUGGCAGGAUUCAAUCUGUCCCACAAAGCCUAAAAUAUUUACUGUUUCACCUUUCACAGUAAAACUUUGCCAACUCCAUUUUAAGAAUGACUGAUGGUCAGGUCUGGUGGGGCACACCUAUAAUCCAGCUACUUAGGAGGCUGAGGCAGGGAGCUCAAAAGUUUGAGGCCAGCCUGGAGAACUUGGUGAGACCCUGUUUCAGAAUAAUUAAUUAAUUAAUUUUACAAAAACAGACUGAAGAUGUAGCACAAUGUGAAGCCCUGGCUUCAGUCCCCAGCUGAGAAAAAAACAAAAACAAAAACAAAAAAACAGUGACUGAGAAACUGAAAAGAAUUUGAAAAGAUGCUCCACAAGACUAAUCAUGAAAUAAGUAUCAACAUCUGCUCACACAUCAUCGAGAAGAGCUAUUACUUUUUAAAACAGUGUUGGUGAGGAUGUGCACUGCUGUUAGAAAUGUAAAACUGUACAACUGCUAAGAAAACAAUAUGGCUUUGCACCCAAAGUUAAACGUGGAAUUAUGAUGUGACCCAGCAACUGCACUGGUGCAUUCCCAUCCAAAAUGAUUGAAAGCAAGGUCUCCAGAUAGGUGUGCAUCCGCGUUCACAGCAGUGUUGCUCACAGUAGCCCAAAGGCAGGAAGCCAGCAGCUGAACAGAAUGUGGUGCAUCCAUAGCAUGGCUGUUAUCCAGCCUUGGGAGGGAAGGGAAUUCUGGGACGUGUUACAACACAGAUACAACUUUGAGGACAUUAUUUUGAGUAAAAUAAAC